CCCCCUUCAGGUUUCUAAGAAAGAACUGGCUGUACCAGAGAACAAUCCUUGCCCAUUAUCCAAUGAUAGCGGUUUUCCUGCUCAAUUCAGUUUUAGGCCAAAAUAAAUGUAACUUUUCAGACAGAUCUUUGUCUGUUAGUAAAUAAGUGACAGGCAAAUGACAGCCAUCAAAAUAAACAAUAGAACACCAGUCUAGAAUUCUUCAAAAAUGUCCUUGGAUUGAGGCCCAAGAUAGUGACAUAAACCUUCCUUCAGAUUUCCUCAGAAAAGCUCUAGAGACGUGACCUAAUGAAUUGAUAGAUACAGAAUGAGCUUAGUGGGAAUACGCAGGUUAUGUAUUUGCAGUCUCAGUCCUUGGAUUCUGUAACCGAGGGUUAAGGCAUAGGAUUAUCACUAAUACCCAGGGAAUACCACAUAACUUUGACUUGACAUUUAAGCUGUGAGAACACUUUCUUGGUAUAAACUGAAAUAGACCAUGGGUCUUGAAGUACUUUAUUUAUUUAUUUAUUUAUUUUAGGAAGUACAGGGAAUUGAACUCAGACCAUGUACAUGGAAAGCAGGCACUCAAUCACUUAAUCUACAUCUGCUCUCCCUUUAUUCCUUUUGGGCUUCUCUUAUAGUUUUUACAGCUGAGGUAUCACCAGUGACCAUUGUCAGAAUUUCUCAUUUAUUUUCAACAACUAUCAGCACCUGAUAAUUCUGGACCCAGGAUAUAAGAAUCUGAAGGAUAUUGGGUUAAAGCUAUUUUGUGAUGCCUUGAAAAUACCUACAUACAAACUUCCAAACAUGGGGGAAAUUUUACUGACACCUGCAUUAGAUGAUCAGUUGAAACAUUUAGCUGAGCCCAAAUGAAAGGUCAGAACCAUGUUUGCUUUGAAAAUCAUUCCAAGAUAGCAUUGUCCUGGAACAGAGCCCCUUGUGUCAACCUCAAGAGUAAUUAUAGUAAUCUGACCUGAAAAUUUUCCAGCAAGCACACUUUCUCUUCUUACAUAAUGAACACAAAAUAUCUUAAUGAUCUUCAUCUCAUUUAUUACUGGGCAAAACAUUAAAUAACCCAGUGAAAAAUAAAGCAAGACCAAUUAUAAUAUUUUUCAGUGUACCUGCCCAGAAUAGGAACCAGAAGGC
rnacentral:lncRNA from 1 species